rnacentral:rRNA from 1 species
GACGUAGGAGGCGAGCGUUGUCCGGAGUUACUGGGCGUAAAGCGCGCGCAGGCGGCCCUGUGCGCUGCCGGUGAAAGCUCCCGGCGUUACCCUGGGAGAGGUUCGGCAGGACGGCAGGGCUGGAGGGUGGGAGAGGUCGGUGGAAGUUCCCGGUGUAGUGGUGAAAUGCGUAGAGAUCGGGAGGAACACCCGUAGCGAAGGCGGCCGACUGGACCACACCUGACGCUGAGGCGCGAAGCCAGGGGAGCGAAGGGAUUAGCAGGACCCGAGAGUAC